GGUAAACCUCAAGUAAAGCUUCCUUUCAUUUUUUUUUUAAUUAAUGAACAGAUCAUACUGGUCAUCACUCAGUGAACACACCCACGUAAGGUGUGAAAACACUGGAUUGGCAGUCCAGGCAGCCGUGCAUGCAGGAGGAUGCCUCCCAGCACAAUAGGCUCCCACCUCCCUCACCUGAGCUGCAUGGUGCGCCCAGAGACAGAUUUUUUUUUUUAACUUUAUUAGAUGCUGCAAAUCAGUCAUGAAGACAUUUUUAGCUGUGCUGAUGAAUAUACAUUUGAUGGCUAAAUUUAGGCUUUUAUUUUAAACAUUUUCUCCGUUGAAACCUGAAGGUGUUGCUUAGCUACCUUCCCCUUGUCUCAGCGUAGCCUGCGAUUUAAUGUAAUUUCUUCUGCUGCAGGUGCUAGGAACAGGCUGCUGUCGGGUGCUGUAGGUUCAGAAACAGUAAAACAGGAAAUGUAUGGCUGUGACUUUCGUGUUAACUCCUGAGUCUCCUAAGCCUAUACAGUGUUUCUUGACGUAUGUACAUCCUUUGCUUGGAGCGAAGUCUAUUCAGCAUAAGUGAUGUGUGUAGUUAUACUAGAUUAUCGUUCUAUUAUAAAAGUUUGUUUUUAGCGUCAACUAAUCUCGCACAGUAGCAUGAAAUUAUUCCAAAACGGCUUUCCAAAAUAAUUAAGCUCUCAGUAGUGAAACCAUCUGUCAUGGUUGGUUUUUAAACUCUCAGCUUGACAUGACUUGAAAUCACCUGGGAAGAGAGUCUCAGGCAGAGAGGGAUUGUCUAGGCUAGGUUGGCCUGUGGGCAAAUGCCUGUCUGUGGGGAGAUCCAGCCUGAAGGUGUGCAGUGGGUUUGGCGUUUAGACUGUGCGAGCGGAGAAAGCUAGCUGAGCACCAAGCGUGCCUGUACCCUUUUCUGUCUGCUCCUGGCUAUGGAUUGAUGCUUCAAGUUCGAGUUCCUCAACUUGUCCGCUCUGAUGGUCAGACUAUAAACUUAAGUUGUGAACUAAAAUAAACCCUUUCUCUUUCACGUUGAUUUUUGACGGGGCAUUUCAGAGAUUUUUAUUUUCUAACUGUAAGACGCACAUAUAUCUGUUCAGGUAUGUAUGUGCACAUGACUGCAGGGGUCUGCAGAGGCCAGAAGAGAACAUCACUUCCCCUGGAGCUUAAGAUCCAGUUCAUUGUGAGCUGCCCAACGUGGGUGCUCGGAACUGAACUCUGAUCCCCUGCAAGAGCAGUAUGUGGUCCUCCUGACUGUUGAGCCAUACCUUUGACUCCUAGGUCAUUUCAUCACAGCAACGGAAAUGAAGCUAGGACACCAUCCUGCGGCGGGGUUUUUCUCCCUUCAAUCCCCCACGGCUUCUGCCUCACUGCAGCUGCAAAGAGCUACUGGCAAGGUGGCUACAAACCUCACAAGACUCAUUUUGCCAACUCUCUCGCCAUGGGGAGAUAAGCACCCGAGCUCCAGUUCUAAGUCAGGUUUUGAGCCAAGAUGCAGUUGUCAUCUACGGCUUGACCUCUAUUGCCGACCUUUCCACCAACUAUGCUGUACCAGGACAUGGUUGCCAAGACCUCAGCUGUCAACUAAGAUCUUGACUAGAUUUGGUACCACAAGCCCCUGCAGAGGAAGAUUCAUCCUGAAGAGGCUGGCACUGUCACAUCAGUUAAAUAAAGCCAGAUGAGGACCUGCAUCUCCUCUCUGACUCCUGGUCUGCUAGGAUGUGAACAAGUUCUUGCUGCCACAGCCACAAACUGCUUCUGUCAUUGUACCCCCCCCCCACGCUGUCCCCUCAACUGGGAGCCACAAUAAACCAUCUUUCCUUAACUCAACCCUGGUUAUGUAUUUAGAUACAACAAUGAGAAAAGUAACUAGACAGGCAUGUA